GACGAACGCUGGCGGCGUGCUUAACACAUGCAAGUCGAACGGAAAGGCCCUGCUUUUGUGGGGUGCUCGAGUGGCGAACGGGUGAGUAACACGUGAGUAACCUGCCCUUGACUUUGGGAUAACUUCAGGAAACUGGGGCUAAUACCGGAUAGGAGCUCCUGCUGCAUGGUGGGGGUUGGAAAGUUUCGGCGGUUGGGGAUGGACUCGCGGCUUAUCAGCUUGUUGGUGGGGUAGUGGCUUACCAAGGCUUUGACGGGUAGCCGGCAUGAGAGGGUGACCGGCCACAUUGGGACUGCGAUACGGCGCAGACUCCUACGGGAGGCAGCAGGGGGGAGUAUUGCACAAUGGGCGGAAGCCUGAUGCAGCAACGCCGCGUGCGGGAUGACGGCCUUCGGGUUGUAAACCGCUUUCGCCUGUGACGAAGCGUGAGUGACGGUAAUGGGUAAAGAAGCACCGGCUAACUACGUG
rnacentral:rRNA from 1 species